GGUGAGCUGCCAGAGCGGUUGAAUGGGACUGACUCGAAAUCAGUUGUUCGAUGUAAAUCGGACCGUGGGUUCAAAUCCCACGCUCACCG
rnacentral:tRNA from 1 species